rnacentral:rRNA from 1 species
UACGUAGGGGGCAAGCGUUGUCCGGAUUUAUUGGGCGUAAAGAGCGUGUAGGCGGCCAUACAGGUCAGCUGUGAAAACUCGAGGCUCAACCUCGAGACGUCGGUUGAAACCGUAUGGCUAGAGUCCGGAAGAGGAGAGUGGAAUUCCCGGUGUAGCGGUGAAAUGCGCAGAUAUCGGGAAGAACACCCAUGGCGAAGGCAGCAUUCUGGGCUUGACCUGACGCUGAGGCACGAAAGCCAGGGGAGCGAACGGG